rnacentral:lncRNA from 1 species
UCCUAUCACUUAAACUUUUAGAAUAAUAAACAAAUAUCACAGGUCUUACACAUCACAGUACGCCAGUCUAAAAAUAUGUGUCUUCAAACCUUUUUUAAAACGAGGAAGCGAUUGUUCUUUUCGUAAAUUAAUUGGUAAGUCAUUCCACAAUGUAGCUCCAGCUCGGUCGAAUCGUCUUUCGCCGUAUGUUUUAGUGCGGACAUUUCUUGGUUUCGUU